rnacentral:rRNA from 1 species
GAUGAACGCUAGCGAUAGGCUUAACACAUGCAAGUCGAGGGGCAGCAUGGUCUUAGCUUGCUAAGACUGAUGGCGACCGGCGCACGGGUGCGUAACGCGUAUACAACUUGCCUCACAGAGGGGGAUAACCCGUCGAAAGACGGACUAAUACCGCGUACACUUGGGAUAGGGCAUCCUGACCCAAGGCAAUGAAAUUCGCUGUGAGCUAGGCAUGCGUCCCAUUAGCUAGUUGGUGAGGUAACGGCUCACCAAGGCGACGAUGGGUAGGGGAACUGAGAGGAUGAACCCCCACACUGGUACUGAGACACGGACCAGACUCCUACGGGAGGCAGCAGUGAGGAAUAUUGGUCAAUGGGCGAGAGCCUGAACCAGCCAAGUCGCGUGAAGGAUGACUGUCUUAUGGAUUGUAAACUUCUUUUAUACGGGAAUAACAAGAGCCACGUGUGGCUCCCUGCAUGUACCGUAUGAAUAAGCAUCGGCUAACUCCGUG